UGUUGGCUUGGGCAAAAAGUUCGAUCGGGUUUUUCCAUACUGUCUUCCAGAAAAAUCUGAAUGAACUUUUUGGCCAACCCAAU
rnacentral:miRNA from 1 species